UGGGUGAAUUCAAUUCAGUGAGAUACGCUUGCCGUAGAAUUGUUCAUAUACUCUAUGACAAUACAAUUACGUUAUUGUGUACGGCAUUGGAUUCAGCCAUAGGUUGAUUGGUGAGACUGCAGAAGAAGUCUUAUCUUAAACUUGAACCUAUUUCAAACAUAUCAGGAAGGAACAUGGCUGCAGGGGACAGGAUAUUGAGUCUUGACGGUGGAGGCAUUCGAGGACUCAUUAUGCUCGAGAUCUUGGAUGAGAUCGAGCAGGAAGCAGGCAAGCCUAUCAAAGACUUGUUUGACUGGAUUGGCGGUACAAGCACUGGAGGACUUAUUGCGCAGGGUAUUGCGAAGGGUAA